CCCGCGCGUCGGGCGCAGCAGUCAGUCACUCGGGGCCCGCAGCGGCAGCCAAGGGGUUAACCGGGGAAAGCCCAAGACGCCACAGAAGAGGGAAGGAAGAGAAGGAGAGAGAGGGAGAGAGAGCAAAGAAAGAGCCACACAGUCAUCUUCCCAGGGUGAAGAAACAAACACCACCACCAAAGGGGGUGGGGGAACCAGAACGCAAAAGAAAAGUUCUUCGGAUUCCCCCCACCCCCCACCAACAAAGCCCUGCUUGGACAGAGAGGUCUCCCCAACAUCACGAGGCAGCAAACUGAAAGCAAGAACGUGGCGAAGUGCAAACAAAUCCAGUCCACAAAAGGCAGAAAACAACAUUUGCCAAGCCCAGGAAACAGAUAAAAAACCCCACCAGCCCGAGGGGCUUUUCCUACCUCGGAAUCGGAGGAGCUGUUUUGAUUCGUUUCUGAUUCAUUGACUAGAGACGAUUUGACAUCAGCUAAAUCCCUCUCUGCCGAGGAGUUUUCGGAGCUCUUCUCCUCCUGUUCGCCCUCGUCUUUGAAGGAAAUCAGUUCGUCGUUGGCGCCUAGGUCAUCCCCUCCACCGCCGUUCAGCUGCGGCAUUUUUUUUUCACCCACCAGCAGCAAUUUUGGAAGAAAAAUGAAGGAGGAAGAAAAGCAAAAAAAAAAAUCACCCCAAAAAAGUUUUGCCCCCCCAAAAAAAUAUUGCAAGAAAAA